rnacentral:rRNA from 1 species
CCUACGGGAGGCAGCAGUGGGGGAUAUUGCACAAUGGGGGAAACCCUGAUGCAGCGACGCCGCGUGUGGGAAGACGGUCCUCAGGAUUGUAAACCACUGUCCCCAGGGCCGAAGAUGACGGUACCUGGGGAGGAAGCUCCGGCUAACUACGUGCCAGCAGCCGCGGUAAUACGUAGGGAGUGAGCGUAGUCCGGAAUUACUGGGGGAAAAGGGAGCGUAGGCGGGGAUGCAAGUUGGGUGUCAAAACUACCGGCUCAACUGGUAGUCGCACUCAAAACUGCAGCUCGUGAGUGAAGUAGAGGCAGGCGGAAUUCCUAGUGUAGCGGUGAAAUGCGUAGAUAUUAGGAGGAACACCAGUGGCGAAGGCGGCCUGCUGGGCUUUUACUGACGCUGAGGCUCGAAAGUGUGGGGAGCAAACAGGAUUAGAUACCCCGGUAGUC